GAUGAAGAACGUAGCGAAAUGCGAUAAGUAAUGCGAAUUGCAGAAUUCAGUGAGUCAUCGAAUCUUUGAACGCACAUUGCGCCCUGUGGUAUUCCGCAGGGCAUGCCUGUUCGAGCGUCAUUUCAACCCUCAAGCCCCGCUUGGUGUUGGGCCCCGCCCGUUGUGGCCGGCCCUAAAGACAGUGGCGGCGCCGCCUGGCCCUCAGCGUAGUACAUCUCUCGCUCCAGGGUCCGGUGGCCGCCUGCCAGAACCCCCCAACUCUGUGGUUGACCUCGGAUCAGGUAGGGAUACCCGCUGAACUUAAGCAUAUCAAUAAGCGGAGGA
rnacentral:misc_RNA from 1 species